CCCUUAGAUGUUCUGGGCUGCACGCGCGCUACACUGACGCACGCAACAGGUGCCUGCUCCGAGAGGACUGGGUAAUCAUUUGAGUGUGCGUCGUGAUGGGGAUAGAAUAUUGUAAUUAUUACUCUUCAACGAGGGAUUCCUAGUAAGCGCCAGUCAGCAGCUUGCGCUGAUUACGUCCCUGCCCUUUGUACACACCGCCCGUCGCUCCUACCGAUGGGUGAUCCGGUGAAUGAUUCGGACUUCAGCGGCUCCCCUGGGGUGCGCCGGAGAAAGUUUUGUGAACCUUAUCACUUGGAGGAAGGAGAAGUCGUAACA
rnacentral:rRNA from 1 species